rnacentral:rRNA from 1 species
GAUGAACGCUGGCGGCGUGCUUAACACAUGCAAGUCGAACGAAGCAUUUAGGACAGAUUACUUCGGUUUGAAGUUCUUUAUGACUGAGUGGCGGACGGGUGAGUAACGCGUGGGUAACCUGCCUUGUACUGGGGGAUAGCAGCUGGAAACGGCUGGUAAUACCGCAUAAGCGCACAAUGUUGCAUGACAUGGUGUGAAAAACUCCGGUGGUAUAAGAUGGACCCGCGUCUGAUUAGCUAGUUGGUGAGAUAACAGCCCACCAAGGCGACGAUCAGUAGCCGACCUGAGAGGGUGACCGGCCACAUUGGGACUGAGACACGGCCCAGACUCUUACGGGAGGCAGCAGUGGGGAAUAUUGCACAAUGGAGGAAACUCUGAUGCAGCGACGCCGCGUGAGUGAAGAAGUAAUUCGUUAUGUAAAGCUCUAUCAGCAGGGAAGAUAGUGACGGUACCUGACUAAGAAGCUCAGGCUAAAUACGUG